rnacentral:lncRNA from 1 species
GGGUGGAAGAUUAUAUUGAAUAGUAAUAGACUCAGCAUUUGGCAUGUUGGUGGUCUCAAGCAGACAAGAAUUACUUUAGACUGGAGUUUUCUACAAGAUCCAAAAAUUAGAGAACUUAAACUCUGCCUUUUGAUUUUAAUCUAUGUGAAGUUGUUGCUUUAUGGAAGCAGGUAAAGCCUUAGUCUCAUUGUGACUAGUCGAAAAUCUAACAUUUCUUUGUUAUUAUAUUCAUCUUGAUACUUUUGAUAUCUUGUUUGAUUAAUAUACGAGAAUUUUAACUACUCUUCUGAGUCUAGACAUUAUUAAUGGGAGCUUCCUUUCAUUAGUUUUUCUUUUUUUAAUUAUAAAAG